rnacentral:rRNA from 1 species
UACAGAGGGUGCAAGCGUUAAUCGGAAUUACUGGGCGUAAAGCGUACGUAGGCGGUUUGGUAAGUCGGAUGUGAAAUCCCCGGGCUCAACCUGGGAAUUGCAUUCGAGACUGCCUGGCUAGAAUGCGGCAGAGGGAAGCGGAAUUUCCGGUGUAGCAGUGAAAUGCGUAGAUAUCGGAAGGAACAUCAGUGGCGAAAGCGGCUUCCUGGUCCAGCAUUGACGCUCAGGUACGAAAGCGUGGGGAGCAAACAGG